UACUGGGAUCAAACACCCAACCUUCUGAUGCAGAGUAAUGCCCGUCAACCUCCCCAACCAAACCCAACCUUCUGAUGCAGAGUAAUGCCCAUCCACCUCCCCAACCAAAACCCAACCUUCUGAUGCAGAGUAAUGCCCAUCAACCUCCACAACCUCCCCAACCAAAACCCAACCUUCUGAUGCAGAAUAAUCCACCUCCCCAACCAACAUAUCAACAUGUCUGA
rnacentral:lncRNA from 1 species